UUUAUACAGAUAGUUAUGAUGACGCUGAAAAUCAUGAAUUUGGAAGUUAUACGAGGCUUUUUAGACCAAACAAACCCUGCUGCAAGGAUUCAGGCUAUCCAAUACUUUGAGCAACUGAAAGAUUCAGAAGAUGGAUGGAAGUUGUGUAUCAAUUUCUUGACUAGUGAUAACAAGCAACAAGAUACUGUUAAGUUUUUUUGCUUUCAAGUCAUAUCACAUUAUGUUAAAUACAAAUAUUCUUAUGCAGAGACAGGACAACAGCAAAUCAUAAGAGAGUUUCUGAAGCAUUGGAUUCAGCUACAGUGCUCAUCACCACAGCCGGACUCAGGCCUCAUUCUGAAUAAAGCUGCUCAGAUUAUUUGUAUUGUGUUUCUAGCUGAUUAUCCAACUCGCUGGCCAUUAUUUUUUGAUGAUAUAUUAGGCAUGCUAAAUCUUGGAAUGACUGCUAUAGAUAUUUAUCUCCGCAUCUUGUUAGACAUCAACUCUGAAAUUGCAGAUAGAGAAAUACCCCGCACUCAAAAGGAGAUGGAUGCCUUUACUCUUAUUAAGGAUACAAUGCGUGAAACCUGUGUAACUAAAUUGGUUGAUUCGUGGCAUCAUAUAUUGGUGACCUACCAAACUCUAAAUCCUGAUCUGAUCUGUUUGUGCUUGGAGGUGAUUGGGUCAUACAUAGCCUGGAUAGACAUCAAUCUCAUUGCAAAUGAACGCUUUGUUCAGCUUUUCAUCACCUUCCUAAUUUCUACUUCUCUCAGAGAAUCUACAUGCAAUUGUAUUAUUCACAUCAUAUCUAAAGGAAUGGAUCCUGGUGCUAAGGUUAAGCUUGUAGAGUCUUUUGUAACCGUUCUCAAACAAGCUGGAGUAUUGGAAUUUACUGGGAGUCCAGACGAUGAAGAUUUCAUGGUGAAACUAUCAUCUCUUGUUAAUGUAAUGGGCACAGCCAUUCUUAAUAGCUGGACUAGAUUACAAAAAGCUAAAGAUGCAUCUGGUAUGGCUGUUGCUGCUAAUGCAGUUCAUGACAAAGUUGAACUGUUGCUGAAAUUUCUGAGCAAUGAUGACGAUGAAGUCUCUCAAGGUGUCAUAGAGUUUACCAGAGAGUAUUUACAAUUCCUUAAAAAUAAAGUCAGUGCGGGUGUCUAUGGCCUCCAUGAUUCACCCAACGUUGAAAGUAUUUUAUACAUUGUUAUUAAUAAAUACAAGUAUGAUGCUUCGAUGGAUAUGAAUUAUGAGGGUCAAGAAGAGGCAAUGUUUCAAGAGUAUAGAAAAUCUCUUAAAGUUAUUUUUGACAACUUAGCAAUGCUGGAUUUAAAUUUAGUAUUUACGCAUACAAGAAAUAUAAUCACCAAUACUCUAAACCAGUGGAGAAGUCUUUCAUUUCAAGAAAUAGAAGUUGCAAUCACUUUUCUCUAUCUUCUAGGAGAAGUAUUACCUAAUUGCUUAGGAAGUUCCUCUCCAGCUUUUGCAGAAAAAAAGGCUGAAAUAAAUAAAAUGCUCCAUUUGCUCAUAACAACAGAUGUUAGUACUCAAGGGCAUUCAAUAGUAGUUCUACAAUUUUUUGAAACAGUUGUUCGCUUUGAAAAAUUCUUUGCUCAGGAGUCACAACAUAUACCCGAAAUUUUGUUUGCUUUUUUGGAUAACAGAGGGCUUAAAAAUAAAGAUCCUCAUGUAAGAAGUCGUGUAUCAUAUUUGUUUUCAAGAUUCAUCAAAUGCCUCAAGUCUCAAAUGUCUAAUUAUACAGAGGGUAUACUUAAAGAACUUGAAGAAUUGCUAGUUUUAGAUUCCCCAGUGAAUGGGAUUGGAUCUCUCUCUUCUGACGAUCAGCUCUACCUAUAUGAAACUGCAGCUAUACUAAUUGUUUCUGCUAAUUUUAGUCCCGAGACUAAGUUGGAAGCCUUGCAACGAUUGUUGAUGCCAGUUGCUGAGAAGUUCGCAACAUUGUUACAGAGCCUACCUACAACACCUGACGAACAUCGUAGGAGAGAGAUUGCUAAAUGCAUGAAUCAUGCCAUUGCUGUUACUAGUCGAACCAGCAAAGCUUUCUCUAAUCAACAAACAAUGAAAUCAAAUGGUUGUAUUGAAGUCUAUUUACAAGCCUUACAAGUUUUCUUGGGUGCCCUAAAUCUUCCAUAUGAGCAAGCAACAUUACAGUCUGCGGUUCGUCAAUAUCUUCAUAGGAUGGUUGUCUGUUUAGAAUGUGAGGUGUUGCCGUAUUUUCCCCUGGCUGCUGAACAGUUGCUCAAGACUUCAGACAUUCGGAGUAUCCAGGAAUUCAUUCCACUCAUCAAUCAAAUAAUUUGCAAGUUUAAAACAGAGAUGAUUGUGCUCCAGAAAGAAAUCAGGAUUUUUCACUAACCACUAUCCGGAAGUUUCCCAAAAUCCGAGGUUCAGAAAGUUUAAGAAAUCAUCAAUCACAUUUAAAGAUGUUGUACCAUUUGUUCAUCAAAUCUUCUUGCCUUUUGUGAGUGCCAUAUUCAAUGCUCUUUCCCUACCCAUUGAUGAAAAUGAUCAGCCCGCACAAAAUGAACGGCACUUGCUUCAACGAAGCUAUUUUCUC
rnacentral:misc_RNA from 1 species